ensembl:lncRNA
CUCAAAAGAUGUAAAAAAUAUGUAAUGCAUUACUUUAUGAAAAUGUCGCCACACUUAAAGCUUUCUGUCGCUGUGAAUUUACCAGAUACUAGUGUUGCGUAAAAAAGUUGCGUUAUUAGUCUGAAUGCGGGAUGAUGUGAAAUUGAUGCUGAAUCAUGGAUAUGCUAUUUUAGUUUUUAUUAAUAUUUUGAAUGUUUUUAUUAUAUUUUGUUUAUUUUUUCAAUAUCUUUAUAUUUUAGUUUUAGUUGAAGUUUUAGUAAUUUUGUUGUUUCUGCGAUUAUUGUUGUUUUUUUAUAUUCUAGUGCAUCAAGGUAAACUAAAAGAAAAUGAGAAAUUAUAUCUUCAUAUUUUUUUUUAUAUUUUCUGUAUUUGAAGCUGAAUUUUUUUUUCUAUAUUUUUCUAUAUUUUCUAUUAUCUAUGUUAACAUUUAUUUUAUUUCAAGUAAUUUAUUUAUUUAUUUAUUUUCUUUUGUACGGUUUGGUUUUAAAGGAAUAGUUCACCCAAAAAUGAAUUUCUGUCAUGAUUUACUCACUCACCCUCAGGUUGUUCUGAACUUGUUUCUCUAUGGAAUGUAAGUCAAUGGCUACCGUCAACUCAUACAGGUUUGUAACAACUUGAGGGUGAGUAAAUCAUGACAGAAUUUUCAUUUUUGGGUGAAGUAACCUUUUAGUUAAUGAUGAUAACCCUGUUUCAGCCCGUAACUCUUGCUUGUGGUGUCUCCUGCAGGACAUAUUUGAGGAUGGAGGAUAUGGAGGUGGAAGUCGCUCCAGUAUCCAGUGAGGCCAGUGUGAUUGUAGUCUCUGACUCCGAGAGCAGCACAGAAGAAGAGGGUGUUCCCAUGCAGGUUCAAAGCCCGUCUGAUCGACUCAGACUCUCAGGUCUUCGGGUGGUCAGGAGGAGACAUGUAACUGGUUCACGGACGCAGUUCUCCCCGCGUGAAGAGCGAAUCCGCAGACUCCGGGAGCUCAUCGUGGAGAAUCUGGCAGAGCGGCUGAGCGGCUCCCAGGACGCACCGCAUCCACAAGCGCUGGAUCCUGAACCGAGUUCCAGACACACCGCUGCUGUUGUGAAUGUGCCCACGUCUGAUCAAUCCAGCGCUACAGGUCCACUGCCGUUUCAUUUCUCAGUUCAUCACGCGUUCAUUUUCCCAGCUAACUUUUAAAUGAUUUAAUUAAGUUCUACAUGACAGUUUACUAUUAGAAUUGCUGAUAUCAUUUUUGAUAAUAGAAGUAAUUGACAUAAUCUUAAAUUUAUAACAUAAGAGAUGCCCAAUAUAUCAUUAACAUAUCAAUUAUAGUAAUAUAAAUUUUUAAUUUGUCAUUAUAAUAGAUAUUGGAUAUAACUCAGUUGUUCCCCUAUUUUUACAUUUCAACUAACUCAAAAUUACAGCUAUUUUUAAAUGCACCAAUACUUUUUAUAACACUUUCAAAUUGAAUAGAUUUUCAUGCAUUAUUAUGAUGUCUAAAAUUGUACAUUUUAGGUUUUAUUAUUUUAAUGUGUCUGAAUAAAUUCUAAUAUCAUCUAAUAUUAAAAUAAAUU